UUUCAGUUUCAAGAGGGUAACCAUCACAAACACAAACAUGAUUUCAGGUUAUAAUAAACACCAAGAGGAGACCAGGGCACUGGAGCAGGAGAGAGAAUGUGGCCGCCUCCCGCUUCAUCCUGCAAGAGGAGGGUCUGGGCCGGGAACCGAGGCGGAGGGAGCCAGGCGAACGCCUCAUCUCUGCAGAACCGAGCUUGUCUUCCCCGACGCAGCCCGGCGGCGCGGUGCCAGCGCGGGAGGCGUGUGUGGGUUGUGUUCUGACUGGAGGGUGUCGUCAAGGGCUUUGAUUCCGUUCAGCAUCUCUCAUAUGAGAACCUGCGGCGUACACAACAUUGUUAAUUCAUGGCCAGCGAAGGCGGUUUUAAUUAUAAUGCACAGGACUUUUGGUGGAGGGAACAAUUACUUCUUUCUGUGCUUUUCAGUAGCUCCCUGCCCAGACAUCCCUGACAGACUUUGCACAUUGUCUGUCUGCCUGCCUCGGAGUGGACGGUGCAGACUUCUCAAGGUCGGCAGAACGUUAACAAGGCAUCGUGCAUGUAAUGACAAAAGAGCAAAAGAAGAAUACUCAGGAGUAAACAUCAACAAAAAUUAAAAAUUUAAAGCGAGGUACGGAAAGCCAUGAAACAACCUGAAACGCACCCUCAAACUCCUAGAAACGGGGAAGGCGAGCCACGUUCUCCAAUCAGUCUCGACCCCGAAUGGCAGUGUGCCCUGAGGGACGUGGUGUCAGUCUAUUUCCAGUGAAGUUUCGGUGGCACUGAUUUUCCAGGAGUCGGAGGCGUGUUUCCCGGGAAGGGGCAGCAGCGCGGUGCCCACGUGGAAAUCAUACGAUCGUGUCCACUGUUGCGGUGGCGCCCAGGACAAUGACGGAUGACCCCGAGUUCUAGACGCAAAUGGGGAGCACUGAGGUGCAGCUUCAAGAGCUGGUCGGCGACUGGUGAACCCCUUUAGAGUCCGCAAGUGACUAAGUAGAUUCACCCCCUGGGACGGGGCUCAGAAAGAAAAGGCUGUUUGCUGCUGAUGAUGUAAAAGUGUACGUGUGCGAUAAAAUCUAAGGUGGGCCGGGACUCAGGACGCUGGAGAAAUGUCUUCCACCCCGAGACAGGUGCCACCGCACCCGAGUAUCCCUCCAGGGGCUUAAAAUCAACAGCCCUGCUGAAGGAGAGCACAGAGACUGAUAACUUGCCCAAAAACUGCCCAGGGGAGCGCGUAGAUGACUCUGAAGGUGACGGACGGCGAAGGGAACCGUGAGAGUAGCAGGGAAAGCAGGGUUGUUCUUAGUGCGCAAUCUAAUGUCCCAAGCAGGUGGCGGCCAUUCCUGAAUAAAAAUUAAAAUUUAAAGUUAAAUUUUAGCGGGGCCUGAGGGUGCUGCUCGGGGAUAAAGCAGUCACCUGACAUGUGAAAGGACCUGGGUUUGACCCCUGACAAAGAUGGAUAGGUAGACAGUAGACCGACAGACAGACAGACAGCUUAAGAACCUUCAGUUUAACUUUUAUUUGGUAUUUAAAAAGUGCAUCAGGUGGUUGCUAUGCCUUUGUGUCAGGAUGGCAAAGUAUUAUUAUGAAUGUGCACAAGUACGAAAAAAGGACCAAAUGUCACAUGCGUCUCGUUAAUAACAAUGUGAAAAACAGAUGCACAUGGAGAUAUAGCAAAUAUUUACAUUUUGUUGCUGAAUAAGGAAUGUGACCCUCUAAAUUCUAAUCUCUUCAAAUUCAACCCAUUGGCCACUAUUUAACUUCUAUUUUGGCUGCAAAAGUGUAUCCGGGUUUCUUGUAUGUUUUUCUUUUCCUGUUAGCUCCGGCGUUUAUUUUAUUUGAAAGCUGCAUGAAGGAAUAUGUUCUGAACAGAACUGUGUUUACUUCAUUGUUGCUCUGUGAACACACAUUACUGAGAGCUGCGUCUUUCCCGGGUUCUGGGCGGUCAGCAAGGCCCAGAAUAACAUGGUUAUUCUACAAGGACGUCCCAGAAUAACCCAGGGAAAUUAGCGUCCUCAAAACCUUGUCCUGAGCACGAGAACACGCAGAUGUAAAAUGUGCAGACGCCAAGGCUCCACAAGAUGUGACCCCACCUUCUGGCUUAGUCCCGGGGUGGGACAGUCAUCUUCCCCUUCUCCUUCAUGUUGAAGGGAAAUAUUGAUCUGAAGACAAACCCGUUGUGUUGCAGGACGAAAAUAUAUCAAUAAAGCAGGAAAGGGGUAAAACACGUUGUACUAGGCCGUUUGGAAAA